AGAGUUUGAUCCUGGCUCAGGAUGAACGCUAGCGGCAGGCCUAAUACAUGCAAGACGAACGGCAAGCGGUGUAGCAAUACAUUGCCUAGAGUGUCGUAAGGGUGCGUAACAAGUAUGCAAUCUGCCCUCAACUGGAGGAUAGCUCCCCGAAAGGGGAAUUAACACUCCAUAGGAUUGUAGACCGGCAUCGGUCAGCAAUUAAAACUCCGGUGGUUGAGGAUGAGCAUGCUUCUGAUUAGCUAGUUGGUAGUGUAACGGACUACCAAGGCGAUGAUCAGUAGGGGAACUGAGAGGUUGAUCCCCCACACUGGCACUGAGAUACGGGCCAGACUCCUACGGGAGGCAGCAGUAGGGAAUAUUGGUCAAUGGAUGCAAGUCUGAACCAGCCAUGCCGCGUGCAGGAAGAAGGCCUUCUGGGUCGUAAACUGCUUUUGCCAGGGGCUAAAAAGCCCAUGCGUGGGAAAUUGAAAGUACCUGGUGAAUAAGCCACGGCUAACUACGUGCCAGCAGCGGCGGUAAUUC
rnacentral:rRNA from 1 species